AACUUUCUGGUGUAACUUCAGAGAGGUUGAUUGCUUAUUCAUGUGGAAUGCACCUGUUCUUAGCACAUGAUGAGAAGACUGUGAAGACAGUGAUGGAACACACAUCAAAAACCUGUUGCUUCAUGCUGUGUGACACAUUUGCUGUACCAGGAACGAAAUAGAGAGAAGGAAUUUGGUUGUUUGGAUUAUGAAAUCCAGAACCUGGUUCUAUAACCUGCUGAUGAUAUGGACUUCUGUUGACAUUUGGACCUGAUUAUAUAUUCACUGUCUUAAUUAAUAAUUAUGGAUGUUGCAUGACAUGGUGUUAACACCCUAUCUG
rnacentral:lncRNA from 12 species